rnacentral:lncRNA from 1 species
UGGGAUUGGUAUUUGUUGGAGUCUAAUUAGGAUUAGCUAGUUGAGUUAUAAUAUAAUUAGAAUUUGAGUCAUGAUAUGUUAUUAGAGUCCUAAUAGACUUUGGAUGUUAUCAUUAGAAUUAGAAUCAUAAUAGGUUAUUAGAGUCCUAAUAGACUUUGGAUUUCUUAGAGAAGCCUAUAAAUAGGCUAAUCAAUGUAAAUCAAAGGGAUGAAUUGAGAUGAAUAAUAUUAUAUUUUCUUUCAUUGCAAAGUUGCAACCCUCAAUGGUGAG